CAGCUCAGCUAUUGACAGCAGAGAGGGAGCUGAACAUCUAUAUACCAAGCCGCCUGCGUUAGGAGAUGACACCCAGGCAGAUACAGAGUAAGUGAAAUACUACCGGCCUGUGUCUUCCGUUUGUAACUUGAAUGAGAUUUGAAUGAAGCAGCUUUGUUGCUUAUUACAUGAAAGCAGAGGAAACCCAUGUAGACUAAAUAUUAUACCGCAAGAUUGGUUCACUUAGCG